rnacentral:rRNA from 1 species
GUGUCAGCAGCCGCGGUAAUACGGGGGGUGCAAGCGUUGUUCGGAUUUAUUGGGCGUAAAGCGCGUGUAGGCGGUUUGUUAAGUCUGAUGUGAAAGCCCUGGGCUCAACCCAGGAAGUGCAUUGGAAACUGGCAGACUUGAAUACGGGAGAGGGUAGUGGAAUUCCGGGGGUAGGAGUGAAAUCGGUAGAUAUAAGGAGGAACACCGUGGGCGAAGGCGGCUGCCUGGACCGAUAUUGACGCUGAGCCGCGAAAGCGUGGGUAGCAAACAGGAUUAGAUACCCUGGUAG